rnacentral:rRNA from 1 species
CUGCUGCCUCCCGUAGGAGUUUGGGCCGUGUCUCAGUCCCAAUGUGGCCGGUCCACCCUCUCAGGCCGGCUACUGAUCGCUGCCUUGGUGGGCCGUUACCCCGCCAACUAGCUAAUCAGACGCGGAUCCAUCGUAUACCACCGGAGUUUUUCACACUGCCCCAUGCGGAGCCGUGCGCUUAUGCGGUAUUAGCACCUAUUUCUAAGUGUUAUCCCCCGGUAUACGGCAGGUUAUCCACGCGUUACUCACCCGUCCGCCA